rnacentral:rRNA from 1 species
UACGUAGGGGGCAAGCGUUAUCCGGAAUUACUGGGUGUAAAGGGUGCGUAGGUGGUAUGGCAAGUCAGAAGUGAAAACCCAGGGCUUAACUCUGGGACUGCUUUUGAAACUGUCAGACUGGAGUGCAGGAGAGGUAAGCGGAAUUCCUAGUGUAGCGGUGAAAUGCGUAGAUAUUAGGAGGAACAUCAGUGGCAAAGGCGGCUUACUGGACUGAAACUGACACUGAGGCACGAAAGCGUGGGGAGCAAACAGG